rnacentral:rRNA from 1 species
CCUACGGGAGGCAGCAGUAGGGAAUCUUGCUCAAUGGGCGAAAGCCUGAAGCAGCAACGCCGCGUGGGGGAUGAAGGUUUUCGGAUUGUAAACCCCUUUUGUUAGAGAAGAUAAUGACGGUAUCUAACGAAUAAGCACUGGCUAACUCCGUGCCAGCAGCCGCGGUAAUACGGAGGGUGCAAGCGUUACUCGGAAUCACUGGGCGGAAAGAGGGCGUAGGCGGGAUAGCAAGUCAGAUGUGAAAUCCUAUGGCUUAACCAUAGAACUGCAUUUGAAACUGUUAUGCUAGAGUAUGGGAGAGGUAGGUGGAAUUCUUGGUGUAGGGGUAAAAUCCGUAGAGAUCAAGAGGAAUACUCAUUGCGAAGGCGACCUGCUAGAACAUAACUGACGCUGAUGCGCGAAAGCGUGGGUAGCAAACAGGAUUAGAUACCCCUGUAGUC